rnacentral:rRNA from 1 species
CAGCCGCCGCGGUAAUACGAAGGUCCCAAGCGUUGUUCGGAAUCACUGGGCGUAAAGGGAGCGUAGGCGGCGUGGUAAGUCAGAUGUGAAAUCCCGGGGCUCAACCCCGGAACUGCAUCCGAUACUGCCAUGCUUGAGGGUUGGAGAGGUAGCUGGAAUUCUCGGUGUAGCAGUGAAAUGCGUGGAUAUCGAGAGGAACACUCGUGGCGAAGGCGAGCUACUGGACAACAUCUGACGCUGAGGCUCGAAGGCUAGGGUAGCGAAAGGGAUUAGAUACCCCCGUAGUCCCUGUCUCUUAUAC